rnacentral:misc_RNA from 1 species
GGACUCAUGGGCAAGUCAAGGAGAGCCAAUCCCUUAAGGCAAAGCCAAGAACAGCAAGAUCCAAGUAGAUGGGCCCUAUGCAAUGGCAAAUGACAACUGGGCUUGUAAGCCUGGGCUUAACCCAGUUGCACUUGAGGGAGAGUGUUCGAUGUGGCUAUUCAAGAGCCUGGGAUUAUGGAUCAACAAACAGGCUGGCAUCUCAACAAUCCAAUAGAAAUAAUCAAACAGAACUUAUUGGGAAUGCUAAAACUUAUUUUUAAAAAAUAAAAGCCAUUUCAACAUCCUUAGGUUAUUGAAAUGAAAAAUAUUAUAAAAAAAUUUGAAUUCUUUUUGUAAUAAAAACAAAAAUGGAAUCAUACUCCAAAAAUUACAUUCCAUUCCCAUUUUCAAUUCUAACCAAACAUAGCUUAAAUGUUUGGUUGUUAAACAUACGAGUGUUAUAUAUUAGACCUACACUUAAUCCAGAAAUAGAGAAACAAAGCUAGAAACAAACUUAGUUGAGAAAAGAAGAAGGGGGAGAAAAUUUAGAAAGAAUAUGGAGAAGAGAAGAGAUAACUCCUCAUAUUUGAUUUUUGAAUGAGAAAUACAAAUGCUUUUCUUACAUUUUAUACUUGGUACAAAGAGUUUCUCUUCUCCUUAUUCUUUCUAAAUUUUCUUCUCCAUAUUCUAUGUAAAUUUUCUCCCCCUUCUCCUUUUUUUCUCAACCAAGUCUCUUUCUAGCUUCCUUUCUCUGUUUCUGGAUUGAGUGCAAGUUUGAUACAUAACAAAUUGGUAUCAAAGCUUGGUUUUGAGUGGGCUUAAGCUGAAAAAUGGUUUAGAUAAAGUUGCACCCAGGCCAUAAUUAGGUUUCUUUCUGAUCUUCUCUUUUUUUCUCUUCUUUUCCUCUAAAUUUUUUCCCCUUCUUCCUCAAUUUCUUCUUCCUUCUUACCCUGAAUUUUCUUUCCUUUUUUUCCCAGAAAUUUCUUUCCUUUCUUUCCAUACUAGUUCUCGCUCUGUUUCUUCUUCUCAGCAUAAUCCUGUUUUUGCUCUUUUUUCUUCUGAGAAUCCAAAUUCCCUUCUCAUUCUCUUCCUUUCGUUCUUUUUCUUUCUUUCUUUCUUGUUUUUUCAAACACUCUAGAAAUUUCUAUCAUUUCAAUUCCUAGUUUCAAACUCCACUUUAGCUACAUCCACUGUUGGGAGGGAAAUUGUAUGGUUGUUUUGCUGUUGUAAUUUCAUAGGUUUCCUGUUUGACGUGCUUUUAUCGUUCGAUCCCA